GUUGAACGCUGGCGGCAUGCCUUACACAUGCAAGUCGAACGGCAGCACGGGUGCUUGCACCUGGUGGCGAGUGGCGAACGGGUGAGUAAUACAUCGGAACGUACCCAGUAGUGGGGGAUAACGCACCGAAAGGUGCGCUAAUACCGCAUACGACCUACGGGUGAAAGCGGGGGACCGUAAGGCCUCGCGCUAUUGGAGCGGCCGAUGUCUGAUUAGCUAGUUGGCGGGGUAAAAGCCCACCAAGGCGACGAUCAGUAGCUGGUCUGAGAGGACGAUCAGCCACACUGGGACUGAGACACGGCCCAGACUCCUACGGGAGGCAGCAGUGGGGAAUUUUGGACAAUGGGGGCAACCCUGAUCCAGCAAUGCCGCGUGUGCGAAGAAGGCCUUCGGGUUGUAAAGCACUUUUGUCAGGGAAGAAAUCUUUUGGGCGAAUACCCCGGAAGGAUGACGGUACCUGAAGAAUAAGCACCGGCUAACUACGUGCCAGCAGCCGCAGUAA
rnacentral:rRNA from 1 species